UUUUUUUUUUUUUUUUUUUUUUUUUUUUUGAAUUACAAACUGGUCUUUCAACUACGUGAAAAUCCAACUCCCCAUAAAAGACUUCUUGCAGUCAUUUUCAGUUAAAAGAGAAUAGUGGGAGGUAUUGAAAUGAGAAGAAAUGAUUAGUUAUAAGGUCCAAUUUGUUUUAUCUGUGACACAGUAUUUAUUUUGUUUCCAUUUUAAUACUUUGAGUUGCACACAUGGAGUGGAGUUUCAUAAGGUAGAUGGCAAAUAUUUCAACUCAUCAUAAACUAGUACACUUAACGGAAAAGGUUACAUUUUUAAAAAAUUUAUACUAUCGAUAGAUCUCUUUGUUCCUCGAUGAGAUAAUUAUUUUAUAUUUUUCUCCUGCUAGUUUCAGGCAUCCACUGAUAUUCUACACUUACUAUUACCCUCUCAUUCAAUUUACUUCAUGGACUUUAUUGUCACAGACUUAGGCAUCCAUAUUAGAGAUGGUGUUCUUGAAGGGAUGCAUCCCAUGGUAACUGAUGGGGAAAAAUAGUCACAGAUUUGUUUCAUUUUCAUGUCUUCCCUUUAACAACUGCCAAAUACUUCAUAAAAUAUAAUUGUUUUCAUGGGUGACCUGAGUUCUCUGAGAAAACAAGACAUUUUACCACAUAAUUAAAAUAAUCACAUUAAAAAUACCUUUUAUUGAGUCUGCUAUUAUUAUCAUUAAUUAUUAAUCUUCUCCCUAUAAGGUGUUUUAUAAAAAUGAAAUGGAAUACACCUUAACAUAUUUAUAUAUUGCAAAGCCCCUACAUGGAAUCUUUUACUAAUUUAACACGGUUUAUUGAAUGCCUACUCUGUACCAAGCACUGUUCUAGACACUGAAGAUCUGGCAGUGCACAGGGGCAGUUCCUAAGUUCACAGUCAAGGGGCGAGGGGAAACAGGCAAGUUAAGAGGCAAUUAGGACACCGAAUGAUGAGGGCUUUGCUCAGAAAGGUACCGAUGCUCUAGAAGCUCGUGGUCAAGGUGCCUCUUCAGGAUGUACUGCCAAUGAAUGCUUCCAGAGCACAUCAUACCCAGGCUGAAACUUGAAAGAGAAAUAUAAAUAGCUAGGCUGACAGGAGAAGAGAGAAUAAGAAAAGAGGGAAGAAGGUUCCAGUCAAAGAAAAUAAUCUGUUCAAGGCCCAGAACUGGGAGAGCACAUGACAUGGUAUUCACUGCAGGUCAAGGGUAAAAUCUAAGGGGAAGGGGAGAGGGCAAGUGAGGAAGUAACAGAGGGUUCGUCAGGAGGUGGAAGCAAAGAGCGAGAAAGGCCUUUGAUUCCUGUUGAAGAAUUAGACCAUAUCCUGGGGGCAAUGAGAAAUCACUGCAGGACUCUAAGCAGCCUUGUGACAUGAUUAGAUCUCCUAUUAGACACAGGCAGGUUCUUCUAGAGCUGAACAUACUAGAAAGGAGUCCCUCAGAAAUCUUGAUAAGAGAUAAGGGUAGCUUGAACUAUUGCAGUGGCAGGUGGUAAAAAGAUUUGUGUAUGUGUGUGUCUGUGCAUGAUUACAAUAGCCAUCAUUUUUUGUCCGAAUAAUCAGAGGGAAGAGAUCUAAUCUAUAAAACAUUUUCGUUGCCAUCAUGGAUAGCACACAAAGACAGUUUCUUUUUUAUUUUAUUUUAUUAUAAGCUCAGGGAUACAUGUGCAGGACAUGCAGAUUUGCUACAUAAGUAAACAUGUACC
ensembl:lncRNA